rnacentral:rRNA from 1 species
GCCUAACAGCUAGCUCACCCAACAUAAACCAAAAGUUUACCCUAUAAAUAACCCCUAAGACAUUACCCCUAAACAAAAUAAACCAUUUUUCCACCCAAGUAUGGGAGACAGAAAAGGAAAAUUGAAGCAAUAGAAAAAGUACCGCAAGGGAAAGCUGAAACAGAAAUGAAACAACCCAUAACCAAGCCCAAAAAAGCAGAGACCCACCCUCGUACCUUUUGCAUCAUGAUUUAGCCAGUAACCCCCAAGCGAAGAGAACUAUAGUUUGGCCCCCCGAAACUGAGUGAGCUACUCCAAGACAGCCUAUAAAUAGGGCACACCCGUCUCUGUGGCAAAAGAGUGGGAAGAGCUUCGAGUAGAGGUGACAGACCUACCGAACUCAGCUAUAGCUGGUUAUCCGAAAACUGAAUAGAAGUUCAGCCUUUAUGAAUUCUCCAAUCACAGCCUAACUUAUUCAAGUCUACUCCCCCGAAUAAAAGAUUCAGAAAGAGUUAUUCGAAAGGGGUACAGCCCUUUCGAAAUAAGAAACAACUUUAACAGAAGGUAAAAGAUCACAAUUAACCCAAGGCAUUAAACCCAGGUUGGCUUAAAAGCAGCCACCCCUAAGGAAAGCGUUAAAGCUCAGACGACCAAACCCCCACCCCAAAAAUUCAGAUGAAAAUUCUCAAACCUCUAAUCUUAUCGGACUACUCUAUUCCCCAAUAGAAGAAACAAUGCUAAAAUGAGUAAUAAGAGGAAACCCGCCCCUCUCCUGACACCCGCGUAGAUCGGAUCGAACCAAGCUCCGAAAAUUAACGGCCCCAAACAAAGAGGGUAUUGAACAAUAAACCAAACAACCAGAAAAAUUCUCAACACAAAACCGUUACCCCAACACUGGAGUGUGAACAAGGAAAGAUUAAAAGAAAAAGAAGGAACUCGGCAAACAUAUCUCUUAAAGCCUCGCCUGUUUACCAAAAACAUCGCCUCUUGUCCACCAAAAAUAAGAGGUACUGCCUGCCCCGUGACCCUGAGUUUAACGGCCGCGGUAUUUUGACCGUGCAAAGGUAGCGCAAUCAUUUGUCUUUUAAAUAAAGACCCGUAUGAAUGGCAAGACGAGGGCUUAACUGUCUCCUUUUUCUAAUCAAUGAAAUUGAUCUUCCCGUGCAGAAGCGGGAAUUAACCCAUAAGACGAGAAGACCCUGUGGAGCUUUAGGCAACAGAAAGGAUCUUGUCAAAAACCCUAAACAAAAAAAAAGAACUUAUAGAAAACCCCCCCCUUCUGUGCCUUUGGUUGGGGCGACCGCGGGGACAAAAAUAACCCCCAUGUGGAAGGGAAGAUUAACUUCCUGAACCCAAGAGCCACAGCUCAAAAUAACAGAACUUCUGACCAAAAGAUCCGGCAAAGCCGAUCAACGGACCAAGUUACCCCAGGGAUAACAGCGCAAUCCCCUUCCAGAGGCCAUAUCGACAAGGGGGUUUACGACCUCGAUGUUGGAUCAGGACAUCCUAAUGGUGCAGCCGCUAUUAAGGGUUCGUUUGUUCAACGAUUAAAGUCCUACGUGAUCUGAGUUCAGACCGGAGUAAUCCAGGUCAGUUUCUAUCUAUGUAAUGCCUUUCUCUAGUACGAAAGGACCGAAAAAGGGAGGCCCAUACUAAAUAGCACGCCCCCCCCCCAUCUGAUGAAUAGACUAAAACAGGUAAGGGGGCAUACUCCCUUUUCAACCUGAAAAAAAGCUU